rnacentral:rRNA from 1 species
UGUCUUCUAAAUAAAGACCAGUAUGAACGGCUAAAUGAGGACAAACCUGUCUCUUGCAACCAAUCAGUGAAACUGAUCUCCCGGUCCAAAAGCCGGGAUAACACCAUAAGACGAGAAGACCCUGUGGAGCUUUAAACAAACUAUUACGCACCACACCAGGCUGCAAUUAGUAGGUAGUUUUAAGUUGGGGCGACUUCGGAACCAAAAAAAACUUCCGAGCACAGAACCACCCAUUCUUACCAAGACUAACAAGUCAAAGCCCAAAACGACCCAGUAACACUGAUCAACGAACCAAGUUACCCCAGGGAUAACAGCGCCAUCUUCUUCAAGAGUUCAUAUCGACAAGAAGGUUUACGACCUCGAUGUUGGAUCAGGACACCCCAAUGGUGCAGCCGCUAUUAAAGGUUCGUUUGUUCAACGAUUAACAGU